UGUCACUCUUUGCAGCAUAAUCAGUGACGACGCCGCUUAGCGGUUUUGCACUUCAAAGACUGACAAUCCUCGGUGGACUCCGCCACCUCCAGCAUCUGCUCCGGCGAAUCACAUUGCGGGCUCUGCGCAAUGCUAAAGAAUCAUGCUUUGCACAGGAAGAAUAGAUGGUUUAUGUUGAGAGUUGCUUUGCAAUUGAGAGUUGAAGCAUCAAGGAAGAAGGAUGAACUUGGGGAAAUUGGGCAGCUAGAGUGACAUAUAACCGUCAAAGAUUAAGAUACUUGCAAGAAAAUGACAAUGCUUGGCAGGCUCCUAUGUGACACAUGCUAGUAGUUGGUAAUGAAUGGCAAUUGCCAGCCUGCCACCAUUAUAUUUUGUAGCAUUUAUAAAUGCUAUUACUGGCAACAGUGGUCAAAGGGAUUAUAAAUUCACACUUGAAACAGUGGGAAAUUGCCUAUAUAGUCAUCUCACACUGUUUCAGGCUGAUUCUUUGGGCGUUAAGGCCUUUCACUGUAAAAGACCCAUUGUUUCCCCCUUUUGUUGGUUAAUGUCAACGUUCUUGUGCCUCCAGCUCACUAGCCAAGUGGCCAAGAGAACUUUUUUAAGCUACUUUCCUUUCUCAAGCUAGUAUUCAAGUCAAACUUAAUUUCCCACCAAAUUUUUCGGCAUGUUUUUACAUUCCUCAGCGUGAUUCAGAAAUUAUAUACUAAAUGAGGAUUAUUCAGGAGAGUAUAUCUACUGGGGAACAACUCCUUAAUAGCUGUGCAACAGAAUUAUUCAGGAGAAUUUAUCUACUGGGGCACAAUUGCAGGUGGCAGACUACACAGCUUUAGGAAAGUUAUCAGCUCUAGAAGGCUGGCAACUUAUCCCUUAAUAUGAGAUUUUGUGCAUCAAUAAUUCCUUCGAACUCAAAAGUGUUUUACGUGAUUUUAGAACAAUUCAAUUGGUUAGUACUUCAAUUUAAUGGAUGAUCAAUUGGUUUU